rnacentral:rRNA from 1 species
CAAUAGCGUAUAUUAAAGUUGUUGCAGUUAAAAAGCUCGUAGUUGGAUUUCUGGGAGGGUGCCAAUGUCCGCCGAAGCGCGUGCGCAGCGGCGCCCUUCCAUCCUUCUGUUAACGCCUCUUGGCAUUCAUUUGCUGGUGGCGGGCUCAGAUAUUUUACCUUGAGAAAAUUAGAGUGUUUCAGGCAGGCUAGGCCGGAAUACAUUAGCAUGGAAUAAUGGAAUAGGACUACGGUCUCUUUGUUGGUUUGAGGGACUGCAGUAAUGAUUAAUAGGGAUAGUUGGGGGUAUUCGUAUUUCAUUGUCAGAGGUGAAAUUCUUGGAUUUCUGAAAGACGAACUACUGCGAAAGCAUUUACCAAGGAUGUUUUCAUUAAUCAAGAACGAAAGUUAGGGGAUCGAAGAUGAUUAGAUACCGU